rnacentral:rRNA from 1 species
GUACGAGCUGCUACGGCAGCGAAGUGGGUGACGUCAAGCUUCCAAGAAAAGCCCUAUACCCGUUAAAGCAUGAUGGCCUGUACCCGAAACCGACACAGGUGGGGUGGUAGAGAAUACCGAGGGGCGCGAGAUAACUCUCUCUAAGGAACUCGGCAAAAUGGCCCCGUAACUUCGGGAAAGGGGUGCCACCGCAAGGUGGUCGCAGUGAGGAGGCCCAGGCGACUGUUUACCAAAAACACAGGUCUCCGCUAAGUCGCAAGACGAUGUAUGGGGGCUGACGCCUGCCCAGUGCCGGAAGGUUAAGGAAGCUGGUCAGCGCAAGCGAAGCUAGCGACUGAAGCCCCGGUGAACGGCGGCCGUAACAAUAACGGUCCUAAGGUAGCGAAAUUCCUUGUCGGGUAAGUUCCGACCCGCACGAAAGGCGUAACGAUCUGGGCGCUGUCUCGGAGAGAGGCUCGGCGAAAUAGAAUUGUCUGUGAAGAUGCGGACUACGUGCACCCGGACAGAAAGACCCUAUGAAGCUUUACUGUAGCUUGGUAUUGUGCUCGGGCUCGGAAUGCGCAGGAUAGGUGGGAGGCUAUGAACCAUUGCUUGUGGGUGAUGGUGAGCCACUGGUGAGAUACCACUCUUUCCGAGCUAGAGUUCUAACAGCCACCCGUUAUCCGGGGGCUGGACAGUAUCAGGUGGGCAGUUUGACUGGGGCGGUCGCCUCCUAAAAGGUAACGGAGGCGCGCAAAGGUUUGCUCAGGCUGGUUGGAAAUCAGCCGACGAGUGUAAAAGCAGAAGCAAGCUUGACUGUGAGACCUACAAGUCGAACAGGGAGGAAACUCGGCUUUAGUGAUCCGACGGUUCUGCGUGGAAGGGCCGUCGCUCAACGGAUAAAAGUUACUCUAGGAUAACAGGCUGAUCUCCCCCAAGAGUUCACAUCGACGGGGAGGUUUGGCACCUCGAUGUCGGCUCAUCGCAACCUGGGGCUGAAGUCGGUCCCAAGGGUUGGGCUGUUCGCCCAUUAAAGCGGUACGCGAGCUGGGUUCAGAACGUCGUGAGACAGUUCGGUCCAUAUCCGGUGCAUGCGCAGGAAUAUUGAGAGGAUUUCUCCCUAGUACGAGAGGACCGGGAGGAACGCACCUCUGGUGUACCAGUUAUCGUGCCAACGGUAAACGCUGGGUAGCCAUGUGCGGAGAGGAUAACCGCUGAAAGCAUCUAAGUGGGAAGCCCACCUCAAGAUGAGUAUUCCCAUGGGGUAACCCAGUAAGGUCACGGGAAGAACACCCGUUGAUAGGCUCUACGUGGAAGCGCAGUAAUGUGUGAAGCGGAGGAGUACUAAUAGACCGAGGGCUUGA